rnacentral:rRNA from 1 species
UACGUAGGGACCGAGCGUUGUCCGGAUUCAUUGGGCGUAAAGAGCUCGUAGGCGGCCACUCAAGUCGAAUGUGAAACCUCGAGGCUUAACCUCGAGCCUGCAUUCGAUACUGGGUGGCUAGAGUCUGGUAGGGGGAUCUGGAAUUCCUGGUGUAGCGGUGGAAUGCGCAGAUAUCAGGAGGAACACCGGUGGCGAAGGCGGGAUCCUGGGCCAGUACUGACGCUGAGGAGCGGAAGCGUGGGGAGCAAACAGG